rnacentral:rRNA from 1 species
GGGAGCUUGCUCCCUGAUGUUAGCGGCGGACGGGUGAGUAACACGUGGGUAACCUGCCUGUAAGACUGGGAUAACUCCGGGAAACCGGGGCUAAUACCGGAUGCUUGUUUGAACCGCAUGGUUACAUAAAUGGCUUCGGCUACCACUUACAGAUGGACCCGCGGCGCAUUAGCUAGUUGGUGAGGUAAUGGCUCACCAAGGCAACGAUGCGUAACCGACCUGAGAGGGUGAUCGGCCACACUGGGACUGACACACGGCCCACACUCCUACGGGAGGCAGCAGUAGGGAAUCUUCCGCAAUGGACGAAAGUCUGACGGACCAACGCCGCGUGAGUGAUGAAGGUUUUCGGAUCGUAAAGCUCUGUUGUUAGGGAAGAACAAGUACCGUUCGAAUAGGGCGGUACCUUGACGGUACCUAACCAGAAAGCCACGGCUAACUACGUGCCACCAGCCGCGGUAAUACGUAGGUGGCAAGCGUUGUCCGGAAUUAUUGGGCGUAAAGGGCUCGCAGGCGGUUCCUUAAGUCUGAUGUGAAAGCCCCCGGCUCAACCGGGGAGGGUCAUUGGAAACUGGGGAACUUGAGUGCAAAAGAGGAGAGUGGAAUUCCACGUGUAGCGGUGAAAUGCAUAUAGAUGUGGAGGAACACCAGUGGCGAAAGCCACUCUCUGGUCUGUAACUGACGCUGAGGAGCGAAAGCGUGGGGAGCGAACAGGAUUAGAUACCCUGGUAGUCCACGCCGUAAACGAUGAGUGCUAAGUGUUAGGGGGU